rnacentral:lncRNA from 1 species
GAGAAUACAGGACAACUUCAAAUUCACAUAGAAACCAUUGAAAUCAGUGGAUACUCAUGUGAAGGAUAUGGCUUUAAAGUUGUUAAUUGUCAAGAGUUUACUCUAAGUGCCAAUGCUUCUAGAGAUAUAAUCAUAUUUGCACUGUUUCUUUUGGUCAUUGGAACAGCCUAUUUGGAAGCUCAAGGAAUAUGGGAGCCAUUUCGAAGGCGGCUAUCCUUUGAGGCCUCGAACCCGCCCUUCGAUGUGGGAAGGCCAUUUGAUCUCAGGAGAAUCGUUGGUAUUUCAUCUGAAGGAAACUUGAACACACUCAGCUGUGACCCCGGUCACAGUAGGGGGUUCUGUGGAGCAGGCGGUUCAUCAUCCCGACCCAGUGCCGGGAGUCAUAAGCAGUGUGGCCCAUCGGUCCACCCACACAGCAGUCACAGC